UACGAAGGGGGCGAGCGUUGUUCGGAUUUACUGGGCGUAAAGGGCGUGCAGGCGGUCUUGCAAGUCAGGCGUGAAAGCCCCGGGCUUAACCUGGGAAUUGCGCUUGAUACUCUGAGACUGGAGUACGGGAGAGGAGAGUGGAAUUCCCAGUGUAGAGGUGAAAUUCGUAGAUAUUGGGAAGAACACCAGUGGCGAAGGCGGCUCUCUGGACCGUAACUGACGCUGAGGCGCGAAAGCGUGGGGAGCAAACAGG
rnacentral:rRNA from 1 species